GCCUCAGUGGUGAAAUUGGUAGACACGCUGGUUUUAGGUACCAGUGCUUAUGGCGUGGGGGUUCGAGUCCCUCCUGAGGCACCA
rnacentral:tRNA from 1 species